rnacentral:rRNA from 1 species
UACGGAGGAUCCAAGCGUUAUCCGGAAUCAUUGGGUUUAAAGGGUCCGUAGGCGGUUUAGUAAGUCAGUGGUGAAAGCCCAUCGCUCAACGGUGGAACGGCCAUUGAUACUGCUAGACUUGAAUUAUUAGGAAGUAACUAGAAAUAUGUAGUGUAGCGGUGAAAUGCUUAGAGAUUACAUGGAAUACCAAUUGCGAAGGCAGGUUACUACUAAUGGAUUGACGCUGAGGCGCGAAAGCUAGGGGAGCGAACGGG